rnacentral:rRNA from 1 species
GACGACCGCUGGCGGCGUGCUUAACACGUGCAAGUCGAACGGAAAGGCCCUGCUUUUGUGGGGUGCUCGAGUGGCGAACGGGUGAGUAACACGUGAGUAACCUGCCCUUGACUUUGGGAUAACUUCAGGAAACUGGGGCUAAUACCGGAUAGGAGCUCCUGCUGCAUGGUGGGGGUUGGAAAGUUUCGGCGGUUGGGGAUGGACUCGCGGCUUAUCAGCUUGUUGGUGGGGUAGUGGCUUACCAAGGCUUUGACGGGUAGCCGGCCUGAGAGGGUGACCGGCCACAUUGGGACUGAGAUACGGCCCAGACUCCUACGGGAGGCAGCAGUGGGGAAUAUUGCACAAUGGGCGGAAGCCUGAUGCAGCAACGCCGCGUGCGGGAUGACGGCCUUCGGGUUGUAAACCGCUUUCGCCUGUGACGAAGCGUGAGUGACGGUAAUGGGUAAAGAAGCACCGGCUAACUACGUG